AGGCACGAUCUGCACAAGUGCCACAGAAGAGUAAACAGCUAUCAGGCAGUAAUGUCAGAGAUAUUCGUGGUGCUUAUGAAGAAAGGAAAUCAAUUCCUAUCAAUGGCCGAAUGCAUUCUAAAUCAGGGUUGUAUAAGUCAACUUCAACCGACAAACCCACUUCAGCAUCAACAGACUUGAGACGGCAGCUUGGUAGCAACAAUGGAUCCGGGCCUGGUCGGCCUACAGGGCCAAAAGGUUUGCCUUCAAAGAUGCCUCUUAGCACCAUGGAGAAGAAGUCCAUUGCACCAGCUGCAAAAACAAUCCUUCCUGCUGCACGCAAACCACUCCCUCCGAAUAAGCAGUCAUCUGUUCCAAGGCUACAAGUUGAACAGAAAAGGGUAUUACCACAACCCAAGAAGAAUGUAGUUAUGCCAAAUAAGCCAGUGGCCUCUUCAAAACCUCAG
rnacentral:misc_RNA from 1 species